ensembl:lncRNA novel transcript
CAGCUCAGAAGCAGACUCAAUGGUUUCCUUGUGAGAGGUCCGGCUCCCUGGCCUAGAAAUGGAGGCCUCACGGGCAGGAGGGUAGUGGUAUGUAGCUGUAGUGGUAUGUGCUCUCUCUCAAUGCUGAGCUGCAGCUCCCAGUCAGCCACUGGAUCAUGAGGGUAAAAUACGGAUACUUGACAUCUUCUUAAAGAACAUCAUGCCUGCUAAGCCAUCCAGUUUGGAUGCCCCAGUGCCUUCCACCAGCCAUUCUCAAGCCUCAUUAGAAGAGAGAGAUUGAUGACCCUGUAGCUGCAGCAUCCCAUCAUCCUGCAUUUUAGUUCAAUGCUUCAAACGUUCUUCAGGCCCAGUGUGCUUUCAGCUGUGUAUGUUAAUGGUGCAUCUCCUGCUGUUCCCAAUCUACUCAUCCUAGGAACCAACUCAGGCUACAAACCUGUACAGCAUGUGAUUCUACUGAAUAUACGGGCAAUUGUUAACACAAUGGUAGGUAUUUGUGUAUCUAAACAUACCUAAACAUCGAAAAGUAGAGUAGAGGCCCAGUGUGGUGGCUUAUGCCUGGAAUGCCAGCACUGCGGGAGGCCAAAGUGAGAGAAUGGCUUGAAACCAGGUGUUUGAGACCAGGCUGGGCAAGAUAGCAAGACCCUAUCUCUAUAAAUUUUUUAAAAAAAUAUUAGCCAGGUGCAGUGGCUUGGGCCUUUAUUUCUAGCUACUCAGGAGGCUGAGGCAGGAGGAUCACUUAAGCCCAGGGGCCCAUGAUUGCACACUGCAUUCCAGCCUGAAUGACAGCCUGCAGCUUACUUUUUUUUUUAAUAACAGUCUGUUUCAAAGAGCAGAAGUUUUUAAUUUUGAUGAAGUCCAGUUAAUCAAUUGCUUCUUUUAUGAUUUUUUCUUUUUUCGGUGGCAAAUUUCUGUUUUAUUUUGUCUGGAAAUAGGUAUAGCUCUCAUUCCUAAAAAUAUUCUCACUGAGGAUAUAAAUCUGGUUGACAGUUAUCAUGUUCUUUCAGCAUAUUAUGCCAUUGCCUUCCAACUCUCAGUGCUGCUGUUGAGAAAUCAGAUGACACGCUAAAUGUCUAAAAAUGAUCAGCAGAAUUUUUCUUUUGUGUCUUAAGAUUUAUUUGCCAAGGUCUCAAUAAUUUUCUUCUGUAUUUUCUUCUAGAGGUUUUAUAGUUGUAGGUCUUAUAUUUAGGUGAUCUGUUUCAAGUUAAUUUUAUAUAGUGUAAAUUUCACUUUUUUCAUAUAAAUUUUAUUUUUGGCAUAUGGAUGAACAAUUGUUCUGGUAUAAUUUGUUGAAAUGGCUAUCUUUUGCCCAUUAAAUGGCACCAUUGUCAAAAAAUAACUGACCAUGUAUGUGUAGGUCUAUUUCUGGAAUCUCUAUUCAGAUCCAUUGAGCUAGAAAGUCUCUUCUUUUACCAAUACCUUCCUUGAUUUCUGUGCUUUUCUGUAAGUCUUGAAAUUAGGUACAACAAGUUCUCUGAUUUUUUUUUUCUUCAAAACUGUUUUCGGUGUUUUAAGUUCUUUGCUUUGUUGUAUAAACUUUAGGAUCAACUCAUAAAUUUUAACCCCAAAAAAAAGCCCUUCUAAGAAUUUUAUUUGUAUUAUGUGAGUCUAUGGAUCUUUUGCGGGAGCACUGAUGUAUUAACAACCUUGGGGCUUUCCACUCAGGGACACCAUACAUCCUCUACAUUUAUUGGAUUUCUUUCAUUUUUAUCACCAAUGUUUCACAGCUUUCAUCAUACAAAUCUUCCACAUCUUUUGUUAGACUCAUCCCUAAGUUUUUGCUGCUCUUUCAAACAGUAAUAUUUUAAAAUUUCAAUGACCAAUUGUUCAUUGCUCACAUAAAUACAAUCAAUUUUGUAUAUACAGUUAUUAUUUUUAAUCUGACAAUUUAUCCCAUACUUUGCUAGAUUCUCUGUAGUUUAUUACCACCUUUCUAAAUAUUCUGUCUAGGUAACCCAGAGAGUCAAAGUAAGAAUUAUUCAUUUGGUCAACUGAUUAGAUUAUUUCUGUGCUCUUGGAUUCUGUUAAUUUCACACUCUAUAGGCUGGAUGUUCUGCCAUCAUCAAUUUGCAUUCCAAGAUUUUGUGUGUGUAUGUCUCAAAAAUAUGUUAAGGCAGUUUUAACAAUUCUUUAGAAACUCAGGGCCUGGCGCAGUGGCUCACACCUGUAAUCCCAGCACUUUGGGAGGCUACGGUGGGAGGAUCUCUUGGGCCAAGGAGUAUGAAACCAGCCUAGGCAACAUGACAAACCCUGUCUCUACAAAAAAUAUAAAAAUUAGCCAGGCAUGGUGGUGUGCACUUUUAGUCCCAGCUAUUCAGGAGGCUGAGGUGGGAGGACCAUUGGAGCCCAGAAGGUUGAAGCUGCAGUGAGCUGUGAUCAUGCCACUGCACUCCAGCCUGGGCAACAG